ACGAGACCUCCUUGAUGCUGCCGACACCCUGCAAACUCACUUGUAGGAAAAGAUGACCCCAUGAAGGAUAAUACGUACAGUACUUCUUAAAGUAGUAUUCUUUAAGGUCCAAGGGAUGGUGCUUUAAUACAAAAGGAGAAGGUACAGGAGGAAAAAAAAAAAAAAAAAAAAAAAAAAAAAGAAAGAAAAAAAAGAAAAAAAGUUUGUUGUUUGCUUGUUGUU
rnacentral:lncRNA from 1 species